GGAGUUGAAUGAAUGAAGAAUUCAGACCCGAGCAGAGCAUUUACAGUUUAUGUAGACCACAGGGAAAUGUCUGAAAAUGAAGAAUUCCAUUUAAAAAAGCUAAAUAUCACUCCUUUAAGCAUGGAUUUGUCAAUUAAAAACUGGCCACAGAACCACAGAAGGGUGUCACUGAACAGUUAGUAUCGAGAAGUCGACAAAGUCAUGUGAUUUUGUUUUUAUUCUUCAUUUCCUGAAGGAUCGACAACAUGUAUUCCAUCAUGUUUUAGUUCCGACACGAUAACAGUUUCUGCCUCUAAUCCCCUCAUGUCACAGUGACCCUCGUAACAGACUAAAGGUCUUUAAACACAGGUUAUGUUUUAUUUCAUAGUUGAUAUGUGGUGGAAACAGAGUAGGGGUGUGUGUGUGUGUGUGUGUGUGUGUGUAUAGUCGGGAAUUGUCGAACAGGUUGAUGCUGAAUUCCCAAAACCACAAUGAUCUUCCAUGUUCCUGUUCUCUGAUUCAGGUUGAUUUGGUUAAUUCUGAUCACACGGUUAUAAAACAGAUGCCACUGUGACCUUCUCUUAAAUCUCUUUAAAGCUGCUCACAAAUAAUUUUACCAGAAUUAACAAAAUAUAUCACAUUUUGGACAGAAUCCCUAACUUCCCUUAACUUCUCGUCUAUGACUAUGUCAUGGACCACCAAUGCUAACGACCUGUUAUUUUGUGUCUUUGUAUGUAAACUCUGGUUGCAGCUGCGCAUCAUCAGGUUUUUUUAUUUAUUUCUUUUCGUGUAAAAUGCGAAAUGGCUCAAAGCAGCAGCUCAUAAAUAUCCAGACCUCAUUUGUCUUGAAGUAAACUGGCUUGUGGCCUUGACUAUUUGCUGGAUUUUAUUUUUGCGUCUUCUACAAAUGUAUUUUACUUUGAUUUAAAAGAAAAUAUUGAAGUUUUUGUGGGAAAAACAACCUAUCAUUUGUCAGUAAUUAAGAUAAAAGGCUAAUUUCAGAUAAUUCAUCGGACCACAACAGUUUUAGGCUUCGAUCCUCUGGACUAUUUGGUCACCAAACGUCUUGGGUUUUCAUUGUCUGGACUUUGAAUCUCCAGGGUACAACAGUGUUCAAGGGCCUUUUUAGGUAAAAGUUAAAAUGUUUACAAGCUGGGUAAGGACGGGGAAUAUUUUAAAGAAUAAAACGUGGAUAUUCUCGGAAAUUAAAGUCAUAUAUUUGCAAGAACAAACUCACAAAUACUCUGAGAUUAAAGUAAUACAUUUAUGAGAAAAGUUUUUAAGUUUGUGAGUUUAUGUUUGACUUAAUGUCAGAAUAUUCAAGUUAUUUUCUCUUAAAUUUAUGACUUUAAUACUAUUGAAUUGUGAGUUUAGUUCUAGUAAAUUCACCGUUUUAAUAUCCAGUUGUUUUUCUCUAAAUCCCACUUGUACGUUUAUUAAUUUGACCUAAAGAAGGCCCUGCACCAUUAAACGGGCCGUGUCUAUGUUUUGGAUUACAUAACUGUAACUAAUAGAAGAAAUUAAAAUUGUCUGCUUUUAUUCCAGUUUGGAUAUGUCUACGUCCUGCUAAAAAGUGCAAAGUAAGAUGUCUCAAUGGUUUGACUAUUCGUCUACGUCUGGAUUUAUUUUUUAUUUUAGGUUCAACAGGAAAUGACUCAACAAACACCUCUGGACUUGUUGGCCUUUGGUUUUUUCCAUCGGAUUGUCUGGAAUGUUUUCUUAUGUUACUAAACUACACAGGCCCUGACUAUGUACUGGACUAUACAUGUGUCUCUACUGAUGGGGCUCUGACUAUACCUUGGAUUGUACUUUUAUUUUGCCUGUACAUUCUCUGCUUUAUUUUUUUGUUUGUAUACUGCAGUAAACAAAAAAAAAAAGACACAAAAACAUCCACUACAGUCUGGUGUGUUUAAAGAAUUUGUUUGCAUUGCAGCUUCGGGCUUUCACAAACUCAUUCAGACCAAACUUUUAAGAUUCUAUGAGAUGUUUAAAUAAGAGAUGAGAAAUAUUUAGAAUUCGGAGCUGCACUGAAAAUGAAUCCAAAGCUUCUGUGAGUGGGAUCGGUCUAUGUGCUGGGCUGCAGGCCGGCCUCUCGCUCAGUGUUUCUGUCGUUAUAUUUUAUUUUAUUUUAUUUUUUGGCCUGUCGCUUUUGGUUUUGUUUGUAAUGUUGAAUCUGUAUAUAAACGCUGUCGUAUGACUUCUAACUGUAUGAAGAAUCAGCUGAUCUAUUUAUGAGACGGAUGUCGAUGAUCAUGACGCUAAUUAUUGUAACUUGGAUUAAAUCGGAUUAAAUAUC